GUAAUCGGUCUAAAACUUUUAUAUUUUAAGAUAUAACAGAAACCUGUAGGGAAACAUACGUGCCCAAAAACUGAUUCACAAAAACAAACCAUUAAGCUGUUAACGUGCCUAAAACAAUUUAGGUUGCAUUCCAAGACGUAAACAGCUGAUAUAAUCCCGCUUUUCUUGAUUGGUUCGCAGAUGGCGCAGGUCAUAGUUGCGCAGGGUAGUUCAUUGUGCCACGUUUACCAUUCAGUAGUUCAGACGAAGUUGGUAUAUAGACUGCACUGCAUUUUGGGAUUUGAUUUCAAUACAGAAGUUAAGUAUUGUUUGAUUUUUAAAUGGUAUUGUAACAUUACUUAUAUACUGCAGUUUUAACAUUUCUAUUAAUACUAGAGUAUUACUAGCUCUGUAGGAAUAAUGUUUAAUACCUAUACAAUUGUAUUAAUAGUAUUGUGCCUUGCGUUAAAUACUAAUUGUAUUUUAACAAUAUUUUUACGUUUGUCUUCAGGAAUUGCGUUACCUUUUUACGUUUCGUCACUCGCGACAUCGCCGAAAUUGAAAUUACAGCUAUUUUGUUACGUCAAUAUCGUUACGUUUUUGACAUCGUGUCAAAACCCAGUUUCGCUCGCGGAAAUUACGUAAUAGUUAGGUCAUCGCCCGCCAAUGACGUCAUAAUGCGAUCGCUACGCUUGCGUUUCUCGACCUAUUUCAUGGGGCCCCAUGCGCGUUUGUAUUUGCGCAAGGUAAUUUAGUUUAAUUUAAUGCAAUUUAUUUUCCUGCAAUUCUAUUUGCUAUGAACUCGAGGCACGAGAAUCAAAGAGUUGGUAAAGUAUAAAUCACAAUUGGCAUUGUUACCUACACCUGUUUUUAAUAGAUGACAUCUAAGAUGUGACGUCACGAAGUGGUGAUGACGCUGCAGAAGAACCCACUUCAACAUGGUAUGUGACGUCACAGAGGAUCAAGUGGGCCAUGGCGCGAAAUUAAUGAAGUGGAUAAAGCUCCCGAAGAAACGCACAGGCACAAGACUAAGAACAUCAACGUAACGAAGACGCCGAUAAAGGAUGCCGGUUUGAGGUUUAUGUGUUUACUAUUCUGUUGUGCUGUAUGAUUGGGAAGCACUUUUACAGUGUUGCCGGACUGGUUUUCCCUUGACUGGUGCACUCCUAAAGUGUUGCCGGUCUGGUUUUCCCUUGACUGGUGCACUCUUACAGUGUUGCCAACCAUUUUUGCUUGAGCUAAUGUUUGCCAGCUGUUUUUAGUCAGUCACUACUAUGGUGCAUUUUGCAUGUCUUUGAAAUAUACACAAUGAAACUAUGGCGAACAUCUUGCUGGAUCAGAUUUUGUUGUUAUACACUUUAUUGGGUACUUCGUCUACAAAGAUCGAAUCUUUCAGCGAUUCUGUAUAGACCUAUUCGCUUGGUGAGAACGCUGUGUUGGUACACAAAUACUCGAGUAAUAUCAACACGUAGUACAAUAUAUGCUCGUAAAUAUGAUAGUAAUCCAUUUAAUAUAUUUAUAUAAACUGUGAAGUAAACUUCCCUAAGUGACUAUCUUUAUAAUAAAACGUCAUGUAGCGCGAUUGGGACGGUGGCCACGUCACAAUUGCGCUACGACGUCGAUACGAUGGGUCAGAGCAUUGUCAUGACCCUGCGUUCGGUGCGGUUACGUCAGUUUUGAUUGAGUUGCGUCACGGCCAGGUUGUUGCGUGGACGUCGCCGCCAGUGAUGCUACGCUGCAUAUUUAGGUCACUGUCAAUGCGGUUCGUAACAACCUGACGCAGUUUCGCAACAGUCGAUGCAGUGCGUAGCAGCCGAACGAUAUUAUAUUGUGUGAAGAUGCGACGAGAGUAUCGCGGUACCAACAUGGCGACUUACUUUGUGAUUAGGACAUACGGAGAAGUUGUUGGCUUCGACACCUUGGGGUCGGACAUUCAAUAUGGUGUACACUGCAAAUGAUUAUCCUUUAAGAUCGAACUAUAUUUUUUAUGUAGAUGUUUCACUGAUUAUGUCCGCGUUAAUUGUUUUUGGCAGGUCCCAUCUUUUUGUAUGAUUGCGUCGUUUGUGUGUGUUGUGUUCAUUGCAUUUCACACUCUACAUUUAUUCACACUGUUGUAUUCUUUUUGUCUUUUUGUCGGUAUAUUCCUUGUUUUGCACAUGUAUGUGCCAUCGUUGUAUUAUUUUUGUCUAGGGUCUCUUUAACCUGCGUGGACAGUAACAUCCCGCAAGGGUUUCUCACCAGAGUAGAAACCCACUACCAUUGGCUGGGGGCUUGUCGUGCCGUAGUGGCUUCCCACCAACGCCAGCCACAAACUAUAUGAAGCUAUUAACCAUGUUUCUGUUUUCCAGAAGUCAAUCUGAAUUCUUUUAUGAGAGCUACUGCGAAUGCUAAAUUCAUUAUCUUUUUUAUUUGUAUUUUAAUAAACGCUUUGGUCACUCUACUAUGAUGUACUUGUGAAAUAAACCGAAACUUCGUUGA